rnacentral:rRNA from 1 species
AGCGUUGUACAGGUGCUGCAUGGCUGUCGUCAGCUCGUGUCGUGAGAUGUUCGGUUAAGUCCGCUAACGAGCGCAACCCUCGCUGUGUGUUACAAGUGUCACACGGAACUGCCGGUCAUAAACCGGAGGAAGGUGGGAUGACGUCAAGUCAGCAUGGCCUUUAUAUCCUGGGCUACACACACGCUACAAUGGGAAGGGACAAUAGGUUGCGAAGCCGCGAGGCGGAGCCAAUCCAGCAAAACUUCCCUCAGUUCAGAUUGCAGGCUGCAACCCGCCUGCAUGAAGUUGGAGUUGCUAGUAAACGCAGGUCAGCCAUACUGCGUUGAAUACGUUCCCGGGGCUU